rnacentral:rRNA from 1 species
UCCAAGGCUAAAUACUCCUGACUGACCGAUAGUGAACCAGUACCGUGAGGGAAAGGCGAAAAGAACCCCGGCGAGGGGAGUGAAAAAGAACCUGAAACCGUGUACGUACAAGCAGUGGGAGCACCCUUUGGGUGUGACUGCGUACCUUUUGUAUAAUGGGUCAGCGACUUAUAUUCUGUAGCAAGGUUAACCGAAUAGGGGAGCCGGAGGGAAACCGAGUCUUAACCGGGCGUUAAGUUGCAGGGUAUAGACCCGAAACCCGGUGAUCUAGCCAUGGGCAGGUUGAAGGUUGGGUAACACUAACUGGAGGACCGAACCGACUAAUGUUGAAAAAUUAGCGGAUGACCUGUGGCUGGGGGUGAAAGGCCAAUCAAACCGGGAGAUAGCUGGUUCUCCCCGAAAGCUAUUUAGGUAGCGCCUCGUGAAUUCAUCUCCGGGGGUAGAGCACUGUUUCGGCUAGGGGGCCAUCCCGGCUUACCAACCCGAUGCAAACUGCGAAUACCGGAGAAUGUUAUCACGGGAGACACACGGCGGGUGCUAACGUCCGUCGUGAAGAGGGAAACAACCCAGACCGCCAGCUAAGGUCCCAAAGUCAUGGUUAAGUGGGAAACGAUGUGGGAAGGCCCAGACAGCCAGGAUGUUGGCUUAGAAGCAGCCAUCAUUUAAAGAAAGCGUAAUAGCUCACUGGUCGAGUCGGCCUGCGCGGAAGAUGUAACGGGGCUAAACCAUGCACCGAAGCUGCGGCAGCGACACUGUGUGUUGUUGGGUAGGGGAGCGUUCUGUAAGCCUGUGAAGGUGUGUCGUGAGGCAUGCUGGAGGUAUCAGAAGUGCGAAUGCUGACAUAAGUAACGAUAAAGCGGGUGAAAAGCCCGCUCGCCGGAAGACCAAGGGUUCCUGUCCAACGUUAAUCGGGGCAGGGUGAGUCGACCCCUAAGGCGAGGCCGAAAGGCGUAGUCGAUGGGAAACGGGUUAAUAUUCCCGUACUUGGUGUUACUGCGAAGGGGGGACGGAGAAGGCUAUGUUGGCCGGGCGACGGUUGUCCCGGUUUAAGCGUGUAGGUGUGUGUUCCAGGUAAAUCCGGUUCACUUUAACACUGAGGCGUGACGACGAGGCACUACGGUGCUGAAGCAACAAAUGCCCUGCUUCCAGGAAAAGCCUCUAAGCAUCAGGUAACAUCAAAUCGUACCCCAAACCGACACAGGUGGUCAGGUAGAGAAUACCAAGGCGCUUGAGAGAACUCGGGUGAAGGAACUAGGCAAAAUGGUGCCGUAACUUCGGGAGAAGGCACGCUGACACGUAGGUGAAGUGAUUUACUCAUGGAGCUGAAGUCAGUCGAAGAUACCAGCUGGCUGCAACUGUUUAUUAAAAACACAGCACUGUGCAAACACGAAAGUGGACGUAUACGGUGUGACGCCUGCCCGGUGCCGGAAGGUUAAUUGAUGGGGUCAGCGCAAGCGAAGCUCCUGAUCGAAGCCCCGGUAAACGGCGGCCGUAACUAUAACGGUCCUAAGGUAGCGAAAUUCCUUGUCGGGUAAGUUCCGACCUGCACGAAUGGCGUAAUGAUGGCCAGGCUGUCUCCACCCGAGACUCAGUGAAAUUGAACUCGCUGUGAAGAUGCAGUGUACCCGCGGCAAGACGGAAAGACCCCGUGAACCUUUACUAUAGCUUGACACUGAACAUUGAGCCUUGAUGUGUAGGAUAGGUGGGAGGCUUUGAAGUGUGGACGCCAGUCUGCAUGGAGCCGACCUUGAAAUACCACCCUUUAAUGUUUGAUGUUCUAACGUGGACCCGUUACCCGGGUUGCGGACAGUGUCUGGUGGGUAGUUUGACUGGGGCGGUCUCCUCCUAAAGAGUAACGGAGGAGCACGAAGGUUGGCUAAUCCUGGUCGGACAUCAGGAGGUUAGUGCAAUGGCAUAAGCCAGCUUGACUGCGAGCGUGACGGCGCGAGCAGGUGCGAAAGCAGGUCAUAGUGAUCCGGUGGUUCUGAAUGGAAGGGCCAUCGCUCAACGGAUAAAAGGUACUCCGGGGAUAACAGGCUGAUACCGCCCAAGAGUUCAUAUCGACGGCGGUGUUUGGCACCUCGAUGUCGGCUCAUCACAUCCUGGGGCUGAAGUAGGUCCCAAGGGUAUGGCUGUUCGCCAUUUAAAGUGGUACGCGAGCUGGGUUUAGAACGUCGUGAGACAGUUCGGUCCCUAUCUGCCGUGGGCGCUGGAGAACUGAGGGGGGCUGCUCCUAGUACGAGAGGACCGGAGUGGACGCAUCACUGGUGUUCGGGUUGUCAUGCCAAUGGCACUGCCCGGUAGCUAAAUGCGGAAGAGAUAAGUGCUGAAAGCAUCUAAGCACGAAACUUGCCCCGA